GGGGAAUAUUGCACAAUGGGCGAAAGCCUGAUGCAGCAACGCCGCGUGAGUGAUGAAGGCCUUCGGGUUGUAAAGCUCUGUCUUCUGGGACGAUAAUGACGGUACCAGAGGAGGAAGCCACGGCUAACUACGUGCCAGCAGCCGCGGUAAUACGUAGGUGGCAAGCGUUGUACGGAUUUACUGGGCGUCAAGGAUGCGUAGGCGGAUACUUAAGUCAGAUGUGAAAAUCCCGGGCUUAACUUGGGAACUGCAUUUGAAACUGGGUAUCUAGAGUGCGGGAGAGGAUAGUGGAAUUCCUAGUGUAGCGGUGAAAUGCGUAGAGAUUAGGAAGAACACCAGUGGCGAAGGCGACUUUCUGGACCGUAACUGACGCUGAGGCAUGAAAGCGUGGGGAGCAAACA
rnacentral:rRNA from 1 species